CCUCCCAAGUGCUGGGAUUAAAGGUGUGCGCCACCACUCACCGCCCUGCUUUAGAGGCUGUUGAGGUCACUUUCCAGACGGAAGCUAGUAGAAAAAGGGGUUGGGUGGGGAGCAAAUGACAAGACCUAGAGUGAGUGAGGCUAGGCGGGCUCGGCUAUAGAAGAGGGGAGAGGAGGGUCAGGGGUGACUCCAGUCCUGGCCCUGGCAACCAAGGGCAGAACUCCUUGCUGAUUGAGGGGCCUGAAGAUACUGAGGCAUGUGGCAGGUAAGUGGGUGUGUGGUCUAUGAUGAAGGCAGGCAGUCACAGAGUGGCCAGGGGAGCCUUCGGGGAGAGCACAUAAGCGGUGGGAAGAGCCUAGGGAACCUCUGUGGACAAAGGAAGAGUGAGGCUUGCAAAGGAGGUUGUGAAGCUUCCUUAAGAGAAAAGAGCGGGAGGGAUUGCUCUCCCUGGUGCUCAAAGAAGAAAGCCUGCAGAGAGGACUUGGGGCAGCCACAGCAGCAGGGGAAGCAGAGAGAUUUGAAAUCUGCUCCUGGCUUUGGCAAGGCGAAGCCAUCGGGGAGCUCUUCGGGCUGAGGCUGUGGCUCACUGAUUGAGCGUUUAUUGGCCUAACGUGCAUAUUGUCCUAGGUUCGAUCCCUGGUAGCGCAAGACGACAGCUUGUACUGGGAGACAUGUAAACAAGAAGGACUAGCAUGGACAAGAGGAUACUGAAGAGGAAAUGUCUGUAUGGAGAUGGGCCUAGGGCUCCCUAAAGUCCAAGAGGCCAGACAGCCUGGGGAGGACAGGAUCAGAGGAAGCUCAGAGUGGGGUCUUCCCUCCUAAGCCCUGUCAUAUAGUUUCUAAGAUUCUCUAAGUCCCUGUGGUCCUUUGAAUGAGAAUGGUCCCCAUACACUCAUAUAUUUGAAUGUUUGGUCCUCAGUUGGUGGAACUGUCUGGGAAGGAUUAAGAGGUGUGACAUUGUUGGAAGAGGUACGUACCUGGGAGUGGGCUUUGAGUUUUCAAAAGCCUAAGCUGUAAGCAAGUCCCUAAUUGAAUGCUUUCUUUUAUAAGUUGCCUUGAUCAAGGUGUCUCUUCACAGCAAUAGAAAAGUAAGGAAGACGGCACCUCUGAUGGGCACAGGGAAGGAGAUUCGGGAGCCUUCCUGGGAUGUGAAUGGAGUAUAGAGAAGGCCUGAGUGCCUUACCAAAAGGAAGCAGAUCCUAGAUCAUAGCCAAAGAACAGUAGGACUCCAUCUCCAGCCAAGUGGCCUAGGGACCCAAGAAUGGCCGUUUUUAAUUCCUCUUGAGGUCUAGCAGUUUCUGAGCUCUCACCACCACCAAUAGGGACUUUCCAGUUGGGGUGUAGCCCAAGCCCACCUAUAGCUGUGAUAGCCAAGGUUACCACCAGGAAGAAGAGCAGAGAGUCAUGGGAAGAGGUCAGUAAUGCUUUGAUUCCUUUCCCAGCCUCCUGAAGCUGAUGGGUGGUUUUGGCAUGGCUGCCCAGGCCACAAACCUGAAGCUGGCUUUCUGCAUCCCCAGACCUUGCUUGCUUGACGUGCACAUCGGCUACUGGUGCCCUUUGCAAAGCUGUUAUUUGUACAGAAGCCCAAGGGAUAGGGAUAGGGGAAGUUGUCUCUCCCCCUUGCUUUGUCCCUGCCACCACUUCUUGCAGAGGGAUCUGCAGGCACACACCACCCCCUGGUCACUCUUACUGACACACCAGAGCCUGCUGCUUCCCUGGUUCCUUAGGUGCCCUGGUUCAAGCUUUGAGUUCUCACGACUGCUAGAGACAGCCUGGCUUGUGCUUGCCGCACCCUCUUCCUGCUCCAGGAGUUUCUGAACCCAGUCCCUUCCUCUCCACUUCCCCAAGCCAGCCCGAAUAGUAGCCCUGAGCCUCCCACGGAGCUCUGAACCCUGAGCCUCUGUCUAUGGCAUAAAAAAAUGAAGGCAGCCAGUUCCAAGUAGUGUGCCCUUUGAUCAGCUCCCAAGGGUGCGACCCGCCUUCAGGGUAAAGGGAAAGCCUGGAGGUCAGGAAGCAGGCUCCUGAGGUAAGCAGAGGGCUGGGAAGGGGACGAAUGAGCUGGAGCAGAGGGUCCAGCCCUGACCUUGAACUCAGGUUGUGAAUAGCAGUUGUAAUCUCCACUUUACAGGUCAGGGGUGAUGCGAAAGAAUAGGAGGUUCAGAGAGCCUAACACGGUGCCUGGCAAGUAGUAGAUGCUUAGAAUAAGCUCAUCUCCUCUGAACUCGUUUGGGGUCCUUUGGGGGCUCUGAAAGAAGAUGGGUGCUGCAAGAGGCCAGGAACCCUUGAGGUAAGAAUGCAGGUGUAGUCUGUCUCCCUCCAUGCUAGAACACAGAGCCCUCUGCAGUUGCUGCUUUUCUGGCCUGGGUGUGACAGCUGGAUAGGUAUUCCUCACAGGCUGAAGGAAGUCGAGUAAGAAGGCCCAGUAAUGGGAGAACUGCCUUUGGGGUUUCAGUCCCCACUCCAGCACAUACCAGAUCCCUAAAAUUCAUAAUCCGAUUUAUAUUCCUAUUCCCUCCUCUGGACCUGUCACCAUGGCAACAGUUUUCUCAGUUGCACUUCAUCAGCUUCUCAGCAAAUCUUUUUUCUGCCCCCCUCCCAAUUCAAUCUCUCUUUUCUCAUCCUCAGUUGGUCUGCUCUUCUAAGGGUGCAAGGUGCUCACCUGUUUCCCCUCUCAGUUCCCCCAGGUCCCUCUGUCCUUCCCCUGUUCAGAUCUGUUUCUAGGGACUCUUUCUCACCCCUCCCUUCUCAAGCCGAAAACUGGGGUCUGUUGGGCAGGCAAGAACUUGUGUCCCUCCUGGACAGAGAGGAGCGUCUCAGCGGAACAGAGUUUGGAUCCCAGUGGGUUCUGGGUAGAGGUCUGCUGCCCUGGUGUGUGGGUGGAGGGUACCGCCUUAAGCUGAUUGCACUCUGACCUGAAGGAAGGACAUGGGGGGCAGGGCAGCAGCAUGGCACAGUUUCUGUUCCAGUGCUCAGUCAAUUCAAUCUUCUUUUGAGGGUGUUCUGCAGGAUAGUCUCCCUGGCUCACCCUUGGAGACACUCAGCAAUGCCUUUCAGCGAGCACCAGUAUGGGUCACAAUCCCCAAGCCGAGCCGGUUCUGAUUUCUUACUCUUCAAAUUUCAAUUAAGCAUCUUCAUCUUUUCAUUGAUCGUAUCUUUGGAGGUGGAGUUGGGGGGCAGGUUGGAUACUAGUAUCAUGUCCCAAUGUGGGGAUCCUAGACAUGAAUUGCCUGUCCCACGUCAUCCCUCUGGAUUUCCCUGUCACUAUCCCUUAAACACGUCACUGUUCCUCUAUCCUUGUAGCAGAGAAAUGGGAUACCGUAUCAUCGUAUAACCUGUCAAUAAGGGCUUUUCUGGACAGGCAUGGUGGUGCACACUUGUAAUCCCAGUCAUUGGGGAGUAGAGGUAGGGGGAUCAGGAGUUGAAGGUCAUUCUCCAAACGUGAGGUUUGAGGAGAGCCUGGGCUACAUGAGGCCCUGCCUGGGAGAGGUAUAGUAUCUCAUUUCUCAGAUACGGAGUUGGAGGGAUGCUGCAUAUGACCCUGCCUUUCUCCUUUCCAGGGCUUCUGGGGAAGGUACUCAUCUACCACCGUUUUGACAGCUCUCUGGAUGUAACUCUUCAUCAAACAUCCCACAAGCCAUUCCACAUAGUCACCAACAUCCCAGAGACAGACCUGGACCGACUACAGAUUUGAGAGCCAAGUGCUUUACUGACGAGUCACUUCUGCGACCCAACAAUAGGCUUCUGACCACCCUGACUCAGCAUCUUAGUGCUGGAAUUACUGAGAGCACCACCAUACCUGGCUUCUGCAAAGAGAGUCCCAGCCUUGCCAGGAGGCGGAAGUGACUGAGCUGCUAGAUCCUUCAAAGUGGAGACAUCCAGAAGACAGACAACUUGGCCAGCGGGAAAUGAAGGUGAAGAGAAACUGAGGAGAUUGGAAUCUAGUGCUGAAUUUGCAUUCGAUGCCGAGCCUAGGAGGUCAGAGAAGACCUAGGGCACAAAAGAGGAAGUAGCAAAGGGGAGGUUCUUCCUUCUGAUCCCCUCUAUUAGGUGGAGGACCUCGGAGGAGAGACCUCCGCCUUCUGCUCUGUAGCGCUGCACUUGAGUGCCAUAAGGCGAACCCUACCGUGCAGAUCUGGAAACGGCUGAAACCGCCCGAUGAGCGGGGAUUGCAGGGCAAAGAUUGUGGGGGACUUCUUCCAUAUCUCGGAGGCGUUCUCUAGCCAGUCUACAUCUCCAGCGAGGAUACUUUAUUUUAGCAAGUGGGUGUUAAGCCAGACAUAACCACUAGGGGACAGUAAAAACAACCCUUAAGGUCAGUAUUCCUCCAAGACCCCACCUACUCUCACCUGAGGCCAAGAUGGGCAGUGCCUCACCUGGCUUUCACCUAGCGCUCUGUUAACCACUUCCUGCCUAAUCUGAAGUACCUCCCCGAGAUGGAGUCGUUCUUAGUAGAACUGGGGGCCAAUUUUGAUCGGAGGGAGGGUGUCCAGUCCGGGGGUGGGAGUGAAGUCAUGGUUUCCAGAAACUCAGACCCUUGUCCUUGUCCUAGCUGGAGAGGCUAUAGAGUUCUCUGGUUCAGAUGAGUAGGUCUCUUUUCUAAGCAGUGAAAGCCAAGUGGGGUGGUCACUGCGCUGGAACCCCUGGGACAAGCUUUAGUGGAGACUGUUCACGUAGCUUCAAAAUCCAGACUUCCGCCUCCCUGCAGCCAUUUAUCUGUCAAGGGCUUCAGCCAGAGGGAGGGAGGAAGGUAGCCCACCAGUGAAGGGAAGACGACAGGAUGGGAGCAGGAGGUAGGCAGUUAAGACAGGGUUCGAAAGCGGAUGGCUUUCGGCAGCUUUCAGGUACCCGCUUUGCGUGUCGUUUCUCCUGUUACUGGCAGCCUUUCAGGGAUCAGAUCAGCCGAAGUUCCGGGAUUGCGUUCCGGGCCUUAACGAGUUAAACUGUGGGAGUGGGGUCCGGAGUCCCUCCCUCCCUCCUUCGCGAAUCAAGUGUCACCACUUCCAAGUCCAUCAGACUGGCACGCUAGGAGUUAAGUCUGCCCGCAAUCCGCAAGACUGGAGCCGUAGAGGGGGGAGGAGGGGGGAGGGGGAAAGCAAGGAGCUGGGGGAAGCAGACUGCAGGGAGACAGCGCCUGGAACCCCCUCCCCAGGGACCUGGCCCUGGGCCCCCAGCCCCAAAAGGGGCCCUGCCCUCCCCGGGGUCGCGCUCUCUUCCCCCCCCCCGCCCUGCCCCCGCCCUUCAGCUUUGUGUCCCCAGGAGGGUGGGCUGCAAGAUUUCCAGCCAAGCCUUGGCUGCCUGCUCAGUUUUUCCAAACCCUCCAGUCGGAGAAGGCGGGAGCCUUGUCAGGAUAAGAGUCCCUCCCCCCUCUGCCCCUGCCGGCCCCCUGGUCCAGCUUGGAGUUUCCUGUCCUCGCAGCUUUCCAAACUCCUUUCCCUUUCCGACCCUGGCCCCAGCGCCCCCUAGCCCCACCUCUGUUGGUUCCCAAAUUCCAAGUUCAGGUUGGAGGGGCCAGGUGGACUCCACAAUCCUAGCGAGGCGCUGGUAAAGCCUCACUCUGCCGGCCGACCCAGAGACCUGCGGGGCGCCGGCCUGACUCCCGGCCUGGGCCCGCCCUGUCCCAGGACUCGGCUUCUGGCCACCAGGGAAGGUGGCUCUUGGGGUCUCCCGCUCCCGGAAGGAGGCGGUGCCGGGGACGUCGGCACAGCUGGGCGGUAAGGUGGGUUCGGCAGAUGCCAGGCCCUAAGGCAUACUUCAAGGAGGGGCAAUGUUCCCAGCGCUGGCACGCCUCUGUCCAGAGAGUCUAUUAUAUAAUAAUCACCAUCUAUCAGGAAGCCAGGCUGCUGGAGAGAGUGGGUAAGCCAGGAUGCCCGGAUCCGCGCCUCAUCCAGGGCCCAGAAAGGUGUCUCCAUCAAGCCCGGAUCCGCGCCUCAUCCAGGGCCCAGAAAGGUGUCUCCAUCAAGCUACGCACAGUGUGGGGCAAAGCCCAGUGGUCGGAUGAAGAUGAUGAUGGUGACAGGAGGGGGAUUCCAGGGACUAGUGACUAGUGAGGGGCUCUGGGCAAUCUGACUGCAGCCUCGAAAACCCCACCCUCAGAACUCUGACAGGCAGUGCCCCGAGCCAAUGAUUGAAGUUACUGUGGGGCUUGAAGUUAACCCUUUCUUGGGUCCUCAGAAUAUUGAGCCUCUUCCACAUAACUUCCCUUGACCGGCGUCCACCUACUCGGGGUAGUGCACGCUGGAGAGGAGUGCCAGCAUUAUUUGUGCAUUCGGAUCACUAUAGAAACAGAAAGAUGGCUAAUCUCUGAAAACAAGCAGUCCCAGUCCUGGGCGCCCGCUCCACACUGUCCAAAAAGUACAAGAUGCGGUUGUGAGUACAGCUUCCAGAAACAGUUUCGAGCCGUGCUGGCACAGCGACAUCGUGUCAGAAACAGGCACCUUCAUACACUUACGCCCAUGUCACACUUUUACCGGCAAAAGCUGACAUGGACACUCGCUGGCACACCUGUGACAUCCCUCCUGAUGCAGACACACACAGAAGCACGACGUCUCCCCUAGUUGGCCAGUAGAGGGAGCCGCUCGAUUCCAGCUAAGGGCCACCCGCUUUCCUUCCCUGCUCUCUGGCUCCAGGGUUCCUCCCAUAACUCGUGGCUGCCCAAAGCUUGGCUCUGCAUCCAGACCUGGAACCUACAUUGGGGGAUGAGUCACAG
rnacentral:lncRNA from 1 species